rnacentral:rRNA from 1 species
AACGAACGCUGGCGGCAUGCCUAACACAUGCAAGUCGAACGAGACCUUCGGGUCUAGUGGCGCACGGGUGCGUAACGCGUGGGAACCUGCCCUUAGGUUCGGCAUAACUCCCCGAAAGGGGUGCUAAUACCGGAUCAUGUCUUCGGCCCAAAGAUUUAUCGCCUUUGGAUGGGCCCGCGUUGGAUUAGCUAGUUGGUAGGGUAAAAGCCUACCACGGCGACGAUCCAUAGCUGGUUCGGGAGGAUGAUCAGCGACACUGGGACUGAGACACGGCCCAGACUCCUACGGGAGGCAGCAGUGGGGAAUAUUGGACAAUGGGCGAAGGCCUGAUCCAGCUAUGCCGCGUGAGUGAUGAAGGCCUGAGGGUUGUAAAGCGCUUUUACCCGGGAUGAUAAUGACGGUACCGGGAGAAUAAGCUCCGGCUAACUCCGUG